GCCACGGCGCAUGCGCUUGACUUCCACGACCAACUCUAGCUCUCCAUCUCUGGUAGAGGAGUCCCAGCCGGAGAGGAAAGGAAGCUGAGGAAGAGCGAGCAGGAGAAAAGGCCGGGAAGACCAGGAGAAAUGGAGCAAAUCUGGGCUCAGUUCUCCUCUCAAGGAAACGGGGCGACUUUAAAACCACCGCCUGCAGAACAGACUGGAAGGUUGGAAGAGGCACAGAGAGCUCGUCCGGAGCUUGGCAGGCACUAGACAGGAGAAGAGCUGGGCACAUCCCGGUUGGGUGGAAGAGCUGCCAGUCCUGGUAGGCGCACCGUGGGGACCAAUCGCCUUCGGGCUCCGCCUUCAGGGGGCGGGAGAAUCGGGACGUCCACGCGCCUUAGGCGGGGCCUCUGCACCGCUAGCCUCUCAGCCUUCAGUCCUGCGUGGGUCGGCGAGCCACAGUCGGCCAGAGCCAGGAUGCUUGACGCUUUGUUUGACUCCUCGGACACAUUCUCUGACAAAACUCCCUGAGCACAGUGUCUACUGAUUUAUCUGCCUCCUUUCUGAUGAACUUUCUUUCACUGAUUUUCAGAUUUUCCUGAACAAUACCAUCGUUGGUUCUAGACUUGUUUUUGGACACACACUGAUUGAAGAAGUCUUUACUUUUCAGCAGAAUCACUGCUUGGCAAAAUUGUGCGGCAGGGCAAGUCUGCCUCUGGGGCUUCCUACCCUUCCCUGCCAGCGAGUCUCCUCUCCUCAGUCCAUCCGAGCUCUCCUGUUGCUUCACAUCCAUUCACCAUAAAAGCACAUCGCUUGCAGUCCACGAAGGGACAAGAAGCCUUUGAAAAUUAAACACUAGGUUACAGCAGAUACACAGCCAUGUUGUCUCACUGGACACAUUCCAAAGUAUCCCAUGUGACUAUCUGUGCAGAGUAGAGCUUGCUUGAUUGACCUCAUUGGUUGGAAGCACAAGUUCGAUACUGGUGUGUUCAUCUACUGCUGGGCCAACUCUGCAAAGUAGUGAUGGUGAUACCUGGCAACACCCUGGUCAUUGAGAUUGCUGCUUUUUUCAGAAAAAAGUGGAAAAGACUGUGAACUCUGCCUUCUUCUCCCUCACUGGCAAUAGGUGAGUGUGACACCAAUAACUCUGAUCAAACCAGUAAUUGUAGGAUCGUGGUGGUCUCAUAAUUAAUGGUUAUGCAUGUUCGUGUCUAAUAGUAGUGUACUCUUGUAGGUUAAUCUACAGGCAUAAUUUGGGAUAAAAGGACAAAGGUUAGAAAAUAUAUCAGAAGCAUGGAAAAUGGUUCUGCUUUCCAAUAUCUCCCUCAUCACUGUUGCUUUGGGAAUAUACCCAACUAUACCUGGUUUCAGCCAACAAAGUACAGUUGUUGUUGUUGUUGUUGUUUUUAAUAUGCCCUGAUAUUAAAACAAGAAGCUAGUAAAGUCAUUGGGUCAGAAAAAUGAAUAACAAAAGAACUUAUUGUAAGAAUUCAUUAUUUCAUUAUCGUGGUUGACAUCAGAAUCUGUACACAGGAAACAGUCGUAAUGUGGUCCUAGAACUUAGAGAUACAGAUCAUCUGUGAAACUGGUAACACACACGCGCACACACACACAGUGGAUGAGAUUGGCUAUCUGCAGAAGUCACCCAUUGAAAGAGACAUUUGUACCUAUAGUUAGGAGCGAGGACAUCUCUCAGAAUAAAUCAGAAAAAAGUGAGAUUACUCAAGUUCAAAAAAGGUGACCAAAAUAUAUUCUCAUGAUUGGAAUGUAAUUAAAGAAAGAUGGAAUUUUAAAAAUGUUUUAUUUGGACUGCAUUUGGAAAAUAUGUCUGGGAGAGUACACGAGACACUGAUAACAUAAGUUCUUCCUGGGGCAGGGACCUGGGUGACUGAGGGACAGGGGCAAGAGGGAGCUUUUUCACUAUGUACCCUAUUGUACUUUUACAUUUUGAACAUGUGAAUGAAUU